rnacentral:rRNA from 1 species
GAUGAACGCUGGCGGCGUGCCUAACACAUGCAAGUCGAACGAAGCACCAAGGUGAAUCCCUUCGGGGUGAAGCCCUGGUGACUGAGUGGCGGACGGGUGAGUAACGCGUGGGCAACCUGCCCUAUACCGGGGGACAACAGCUGGAAACGGCUGCUAAUACCGCAUAAGCGCACAGAGCCGCAUGGCUCGGUGUGAAAAACUCCGGUGGUAUAGGAUGGACCCGCGUCCGAUUAGCUAGUUGGUGGUGUAACGGACCACCAAGGCGACGAUCGGUAGCCGGCCUGAGAGGGCGGACGGCCACAUUGGGACUGAGACACGGCCCAGACUCCUGCGGGAGGCAGCAGUGGGGGAUAUUGCACAAUGGGGGAAACCCUGAUGCAGCGACGCCGCGUGAGUGAAGAAGUAUUUCGGUAUGUAAAGCUCUAUCAGCAGGGAAGAAAAUGACGGUACCUGACUAAGAAGCCCCGGCUAACUACGUGCCAGCAGCCGCGGUAAAAC